rnacentral:rRNA from 1 species
AGCAAAUCUCCAAAAAACGUACUCAGUUCGGAUUGUAGGCUGCAACCCGCCUGCAUGAAGUCGGAAUUGCUAGUAAUCGUAGAUCAGCAUGCUACGGUGAAUACGUUCCCGGGCCUUGUACACACCGCCCGUCAAACCAUGAGAGUUGGCAACACCCGAAGCCUGUAGCUUAACCGCAAGGACGGCGCAGUCGAAGGUGGGGUCGAUGAUUAGGGUUAAGUCGUAACAAGGUAGC